rnacentral:lncRNA from 1 species
UUGCUGCAGUUGCGUUUUCUGGGGUCCCAUAACUAACCCUCCUGCCUUCAUUUUCAAACUGAUCUAUUGACAGCUGUCUCACCAUUCCACCUAAUGCUCCACCCGUCUCUGCAGCUACUACCACCUCUCGAUGAUGCAAACGUAUGCCAGCUGGCGCAGAACUAGCUACAACAUCAGAAUCAGGUUUUAUCAUUUGUUUCCCACUAGGAGUAGCCUCCGCUCCACGGUCUCUAUCUGGCAGAUCAACUUCACCGUUAGAUUGACGUGCUUUUGCGGCGGCUAGGGUUUUAGCAAUAGCUUCAGCUUCAGCUGCCGAUGCCUCAACCAAAUAUUCAACUCCUUUGCUUAAUC